AUUGACUUCAGUGGGCUUUGGAUAAAUCUUUUACACUUGUGAAUGCAAAGUGACUACAUGAGAUGCAAAACAGGAAAAAAGCAGGUCCAUUAUCACAUAUGCUGCAUCCUGUCAGAUGACAGCAGAGCUCUCUCUCUGUCCUGGAACUGGAGGUAUUGAGCAACUCCAUGAUCUCCCUCCUCAUCCCUAUACUGGUGACUUGAGCACACAUCAAGCUGGAAAAUUUACAGUGCAGGAAGCAGAUUGACUGGAGUUUUAUGGUGCUCCAGACCUCCCACCACUAAGUGGAGCAGCAACAGAACAAUAAAUGGCCAGGAGUAAUGGAUCUCCCUUCACCUGGGCCAGAGGAGUCCUUCAGAGCUCUCCCAUAGUAUCAAUGAGAAGAGUCUGGGGCAUUUGCAAACUGCCUGCCUGUCAUCCAGUGUUUUCCCCAGGAAUUAAGGGAAAUCCUGUACUGAAUUAGGGCCAAAGAACAGGAAGAUCCAGAUCAGAACCAGAUCGAUAACUAACAGCUAAGUUCUACAUCAGCACUAAUGAGUAAGCCCUGGAAAUUUCCAAAUUGCCAAACAAGGCAGGAAAACUAUAUUUAAGGCUUCCUCAGAGCCUAGGAAAUCGGACCUCACCACUGGGCUUUGGGUACCGGUGCCUUGGAAGCUGAGACAACCUCCCACUUCAUCCACAGCCUACCCGGGGUCCCAGGCUUGCAGGAAGGGACGUAAGA